UGCCAGCCGCCGCGGUAAUACGUAGGUGGCAAUCGUGAUCCGGAAUUAUUGGGCGUAAAGCGCGCGUCGGCGGUUUUUUAAGUCUGAUGUGACAGCCCACGGCUCAACCGUGGGGGGUCAUUGGAAACUGGAAAACUUGAGUGCAGAAGAGGAAAGUGGAAUUCCAUGUGUAGCGGUGAAAUGCGCAGAGAUAUGGAGGAACACCAGUGGCGAAGGCGACUUUCUGGUCUGUAACUGACGCUGAUGUGCGGCAGCGUGUGGAUCAAACAUGAUUAGAUA
rnacentral:rRNA from 1 species